rnacentral:rRNA from 1 species
GAUGAACGCUGGCGGCGUGCCUAAUACAUGCAAGUCGAGCGAACAGACGAGGAGCUUGCUCCUCUGACGUUAGCGGCGGACGGGUGAGUAACACGUGGAUAACCUACCUAUAAGACUGGGAUAACUUCGGGAAACCGGAGCUAAUACCGGAUAAUAUAUUGAACCGCAUGGUUCAAUAGUGAAAGACGGUUUUGCUGUCACUUAUAGAUGGAUCCGCGCCGCAUUAGCUAGUUGGUAAGGUAACGGCUUACCAAGGGAACGAUGCGUAGCCGACCUGAGAGGGUGAUCGGCCACCCUGGAACUGAGACACGGUCCAGACUCCUACGGGAGGCAGCAGUAGGGAAUCUUCCGCAAUGGGCGAAAGCCUGACGGAGCAACGCCGCGUGAGUGAUGAAGGUCUUCGGAUCGUAAAACUCUGUUAUUAGGGAAGAACAAAUGUGUAAGUAACUAUGCACGUCUUGACGGUACCUAAUCAGAAAGCCACGGCUAACUACGUG